rnacentral:tRNA from 1 species
GCCGAGGUGGCGAAAUUGGCAGACGCGCCAGCCUUAGGAGCUGGUGGGAGCAAUCCUGUGAGGGUUCAAAUCCCUCCCUCGGCA